CCUGACCUGCAUGAUGCGGGGAGGCUGCUUUUCUCCCCAGCGCUCCCAGCCCUUCUCUUGGAAAACAAAAGGUGCAAAGUUCAGUGGUGCAUGAAAGAGAAACAAAACCCGGUCCCAGCCGCAGCCCCCCCACUCUCCCACCAGACAGAUGGCAGCAGUUGUCCCCGCACACCAGUUGCUCACUGUUGCCAAUAAGCCCCUUUAUCCCACAACAGGUUGUAAAUGAGAGCGUUGGAGCUCAGCAGCCACUGUCAUGGAGGGGCUGGAGUGGGGACAGAGACAGGAACGGGGAUGGGGACAGGGAUGGGGAUGGGAUGGGAUAGGGAUAGAGAUAGGGAUGGGGGUGGGGACAGGGACAGGAUGGAGAUGGGAUGGGGAUAGGGCAGGAAUGGGGACUGAAAUGGGGAUGGGGAUGGUUGCCCCCAUGGGAUGUGCAGUGGAAAACAAAAAAAGCAGCUCCAUGCUGCCUGCCCAUCUGUCAAGGCCCCACAUCCCAGGGGACACAGUGGGAGGGUGGCUGGGGCGAGGCAGCCCCCAGGAUCCCAUUCCCCUGUUUUUACCGAGGACCAGAAAGGGGUAUCUCCUCUGUGCUGGUGUCUGUAGGGCUGGUGGGGACACACAGGCUUAGGGUCAGGGCUGCAGGAAGCUCAGGCUCUGCUCUGCAGAUCGUGUGCAAGGAAGGGAGGAAAGGUCUGUCAGGACAAAGGGCAGGUGGGGAGCGUGGUACCCCAGCAGGAUCCGCUCUGCCAGCCCUGCUGAGGGGCAGAAACCAGCAGGGCAGGAACCCACACGCAGCACGAGAUGUGGGUUUGCCAGAGCUGGUGCUGCUGCAGCCCCUCCAACCACAGAAAGCACCGUGCUGUUGCUGGGCCAGGUGAGUGCAGUUUCUCCGGCUCUGGCAGAUCCUGGGAAGGUGGUUUGAGCUGCGCACACUGCAGGUGACGGCGUGCCCUGGGCAUCCCCUCCCAUCUCCAGGGCUGGGGCAGAGCUGCUGCAUUGCCCCAGAUACAGGCACCCACGCAGUGCUGAUUGGCCUCAGCUGAGCUGACAUCACCGCUCCCGUCCCAGUGGCAAACCCCGGGCAGGAAGCACCUGGAGGAGUCUGACCCCACGCCAUGUACUGGGGAGGGUGGAGGCUGGGUUUCACUUCUGCUGACGUUGCUUUUCUGACAGCCCCAACCCAGCAGGAAGGACAGGUGGGGCAGAGCAAAGGGCACCGGGCAGCACUCCGGCCCAGGACACGUCGGGGAUGAAUGCUGGUUUAUGCAACGUGCCAAUCGCUGAUGGCAGGGGGCACCGACCGACCUGGGCUCCUUGAAUCAGACGCUUCCAGCAGAAACAUCCAAAAUAAAAUAAAAGUAAAAAUCCCAGCAGAAAGCUUGACAGAAAGAGUGUCCAAAUGGCAUCAGGAGGUGGGGAAUGGUGGCUGUGCCUUUAUUUACUUCCAGUCUGUCCUGAAGUGGUCCCGGGGUGUCACUCUGCACCCCUCCCCACACCCCAGAGCUGAUCCUGAGGGACCGUGAUCCGACCAGAAGGAAAAUGACGAGCAAAAUAAAAAUAGGAGAUGAGUCAUCUCUGAGAAGGCCGGCGGUCAGACCUGGCAACUGUGCCGUAGUGCUGACUCCUCACUGAGCGCUCCUCUGCAUGAGAGCUGUGUUUUAAUCGGGGCUGGGAGCACUCCAGUUUUGGGCCAUCGCAGCUCUGCUCGUGGGGACCCAAACAGCAGUGGCUGCAGCCCUGCGGGAGCCCAAACAGAACCCGUGGGCACAGCGGGGGCAUGGGCUGUGCUGACCCCCUCAGACCACACGCACAGCAAAUGGGCUCCGUCCCACCACUCUGCGCCUUUGAACUCGCAUGGCUCCGAUGUAAUCAGCAACCAACGGGGCGCCCAUUCCUCCCUAACAGCCCUGUUUCACAAGCAGCAGCAAUUUGGGUGUGCUUACUGAAACUAAUGAAGGGAUGAGUUCAGAAAGGAGCGGCCUUGACAGAGCACCAAAACCAACCCAGCAGCUGUUUUCCUCCUCGAGGCAGGAUA
rnacentral:lncRNA from 1 species